GAUGAACGCUAGCUACAGGCUUAACACAUGCAAGUCGAGGGGCAUCAGGAAGAAAGCUUGCUUUCUUUGCUGGCGACCGGCGCACGGGUGAGUAACACGUAUCCAACCUGCCCUUUACUCGGGGAUAGCCUUUCGAAAGAAAGAUUAAUACCCGAUAGUAUAAUGAUUCCGCAUGGUUUGAUUAUUAAAGGAUUCCGGUAAAGGAUGGGGAUGCGUUCCAUUAGGUUGUUGGUGAGGUAACGGCUCACCAAGCCUUCGAUGGAUAGGGGUUCUGAGAGGAAGGUCCCCCACAUUGGAACUGAGACACGGUCCAAACUCCUACGGGAGGCAGCAGUGAGGAAUAUUGGUCAAUGGGCGGUAGCCUGAACCAGCCAAGUAGCGUGAAGGAUGAAGGCUCUAUGGGUCGUAAACUUCUUUUAUAUAAGAAUAAAGUGCAGUAUGUAUACUGUUUUGUAUGUAUUAUAUGAAUAAGGAUCGGCUAACUCCGUGCCAGCAGCCGCGGUAAUACGGAGGAUCCGAGCGUUAUCCGGAUUUAUUGGGUUUAAAGGGAGCGUAGGUGGACUGGUAAGUCAGUUGUGAAAGUUUGCGGCUCAACCGUAAAAUUGCAGUUGAUACUGUCAGUCUUGAGUACAGUAGAGGUGGGCGGAAUUCGUGGUGUAGCGGUGAAAUGCUUAGAUAUCACGAAGAACUCCGAUUGCGAAGGCAGCUCACUGGACUGCAACUGACACUGAUGCUCGAAAGUGUGGGUAUCAAACAGGAUUAGAUACCCUGGUAGUCCACACAGUAAACGAUGAAUACUCGCUGUUUGCGAUAUACAGUAAGCGGCCAAGCGAAAGCAUUAAGUAUUCCACCUGGGGAGUACGCCGGCAACGGUGAAACUCAAAGGAAUUGACGGGGGCCCGCACAAGCGGAGGAACAUGUGGUUUAAUUCGAUGAUACGCGAGGAACCUUACCCGGGCUUAAAUUGCAGUGGAAUGAUGUGGAAACAUGUCAGUGAGCAAUCACCGCUGUGAAGGUGCUGCAUGGUUGUCGUCAGCUCGUGCCGUGAGGUGUCGGCUUAAGUGCCAUAACGAGCGCAACCCUUAUCUUUAGUUACUAACAGGUUAUGCUGAGGACUCUAGAGAGACUGCCGUCGUAAGAUGUGAGGAAGGUGGGGAUGACGUCAAAUCAGCACGGCCCUUACGUCCGGGGCUACACACGUGUUACAAUGGGGGGUACAGAAGGCAGCUAGCGGGUGACCGUAUGCUAAUCCCAAAAUCCUCUCUCAGUUCGGAUCGAAGUCUGCAACCCGACUUCGUGAAGCUGGAUUCGCUAGUAAUCGCGCAUCAGCCACGGCGCGGUGAAUACGUUCCCGGGCCU
rnacentral:rRNA from 1 species